rnacentral:rRNA from 1 species
CCUACGGGAGGCUGCAGUGGGGAAUAUUGCACAAUGGGGGAAACCCUGAUGCAGCGACGCCGCGUGAGUGAAGAAGUAAUUCGUUAUGUAAAGCUCUAUCAGCAGGGAAGAAAAUGACGGUACCUGAUUAAGAAGCCCCGGCUAACUACGUGCAAGCAGCCGCGGGAAAACGUAGGGGGCAAGCGUUAUCCGGAUUGACUGGGUGUAAGGGGAGCGUAGACGGCAGUGCAAGUCUGGAGUGAAAGGCGGGGGCUCAACCCCCGGACUGCUCUGGAAACUGUACGGCUGGAGUGCAGGAGAGGUAAGUGGAAUUCCUAGUGUAGCGGUGAAAUGCGUAGAUAUUAGGAGGAACACCAGUGGCGAAGGCGGCUUACUGGACUGUAACUGACGUUGAGGCUCGAAAGCGUGGGGAGCAAACAGGAUUAGAUACCCUAGUAGUC